rnacentral:lncRNA from 1 species
AGAUGACGCGCAGGUACAUGACGGACAUGGUUACGCAUGCAGAUACUGAUGUGGUGAUUGUGGGUGCUGGCUCUGCUGGCCUCUCUUGUGCUUAUGAGCUUAGCAAGAACCCAUCUGUGAAGGUUGCCAUUGUUGAGCAAUCUGUUAGCCCUGGUGGUGGUGCUUGGCUCGGUGGCCAGCUCUUCUCUGCCAUGGUAAUCAAAAUCCCUUUUUGCAGAGCAGAAUCUAAAUACUUGUUUCUUUAAAACUGAUCUUUCGUAUAUAUGUUUUGUUGGUCAGGUGGUUCGCAAACCUGCUCAACUCUUCCUUGAUGAGCUAGGCAUCGAGUACGAUGAAGCAGACAACUAUGUAGUAAUCAAGCAUGCUGCCCUGUUCACAUCCACAAUUAUGAGCAAACUCCUAGCCCGCCCCAAUGUUAAGCUUUUCAACGCAGUGGCUGCCGAGGACCUGAUAGUGAAGAAUGGAAGAGUGGGUGGCGUGGUCACCAACUGGGCUCUUGUGUCAAUGAACCACGACACACAGUCUUGCAUGGACCCCAAUGUAAUGGAGGCCAAAGUAGUCGUAAGCUCUUGUGGCCAU